rnacentral:rRNA from 1 species
UACAGAGGGUGCAAGCGUUGUUCGGAAUUAUUGGGCGUAAAGGGCGCGUAGGCGGCUUCGUGUGUCCGGUGUGAAAUCCCACCUCUCAAAGGUGGAGUUGCGCCGGAAACUAUGAAGCUUGAGUGCCGGAGAGGGUGGCGGAAUUCCCGGUGUAGAGGUGAAAUUCGUAGAUAUCGGGAAGAACACCGGUGGCGAAGGCGGCCACCUGGACGGCUACUGACGCUGAGGCGCGAAAGCGUGGGGAGCAAACAGG